AUUGAACGCUGGCGGCAGGCUUAACACAUGCAAGUCGAGCGGGGUUUUCGGACCUAGCGGCGGACGGGUGAGUAAUGCGUAGGAAGCUACCCGAUAGAGGGGGAUACCAGUUGGAAACGACUGUUAAUACCGCAUAAUGUCUACGGACCAAAGUGUGGGACCUUCGGGCCACAUGCUAUCGGAUGCGCCUACGUGGGAUUAGCUAGUUGGUGAGGUAAUGGCUCACCAAGGCGACGAUCCCUAGCUGGUUUGAGAGGAUGAUCAGCCACACUGGAACUGAGACACGGUCCAGACUCCUACGGGAGGCAGCAGUGGGGAAUAUUGGACAAUGGGCGCAAGCCUGAUCCAGCCAUGCCGCGUGUGUGAAGAAGGCCUUCGGGUUGUAAAGCACUUUCAGUAGGGAGGAAGCGUUGUGUGUUAAUAGUACACAGCGUUGACGUUACCUACAGAAGAAGCACCGGCUAACUCUGUGCCAGCCGCCGCGGUAAUAC
rnacentral:rRNA from 1 species